CAAAAACACGCACCUUGUGCCAAGUUAUACGAACUUCAAAUGUUUCUUCGUUAGUCUCUCUUUGCAUCAUCACCUAUAACAAAAUCACUGAACCCUUCUUUCUCUUUCUCUAUAAAAAUACCAUCUUUCUUUCUCUCUCUUCCUCUUUCUCUCUCUCUAUUGUUGUUUCAAACUUUAAACUUUCUGGCUUUUCAAUUUUCGGCAAACAUGAGCGGUACUGGGUCGAGGGUUUCGAUUCCGAGCGGUGUCAGGAAGACGAUCCAGAAUAUUAAGGAGAUCACGGGUAAUCAUAGUGAUGAUGAGAUUUAUGCAAUGCUUAAGGAGUGUGAAAUGGAUCCCAACGAGACUACUCAGAAGCUUUUGUUUCAGGAUACAUUUCACGAGGUCAAAAGAAAGAAGGACCGAAGAAAAGAGAAUGUUAACAACAGAGAGACUUUGGAGUCACAUUCGAGACCUGGCACCCAAGGGCGAGGGGUUAGAGGUGGCCGGGGAAAUUUUACACCUCAUCGCAUAGUGCACGAUGCCCGUGGUGGCAAGAAUUCUGCUACCGGCAAAGAUAACGGGUCCAACCAAGAAACUUCAAAGGGUGUGCCUCCUUUGCCAGGUUCGCAAGAGACAAAGGCUAGAGAAAAAAGUUCUGGAACAAGCACUGUUCCAGCUAUUGCCAAUGGGCCUACAACUGUAUCAUCUGGAACUACUAAUGUGAAUUCAUCCCCUUCAUCUACUGUAAAUGUAGAUAGAAUUAGUCCAUCGGAUGGUGGUAAUAUUACUGUCGGUAAGGAUUUUCCUUCUGAUAGUUCAGACAAAGGGGCAAAAGUUGUUAUUGAAAGUGAGUCAGUGCCUUCCAUCAGUGACGGGUUAGGGACUAGACCGUCGUCGUCAUCAGCUGUCUGUUUCUCUUCUUCAGACCCAGUACUGGUUCCAUCGAAUGAUUCACGUUUUCCUGGUGCUGUUGGUGCAAUUAAGCGGGAAGUGGGAGGCCAACGUCCUCCCACGGAAUUAAAUGUGGCCAACACUUCUGAGAACAAAUCUUCUGCUUCUGAGACUGGUAGCUCUUUUCAAGGAAAGAGUCAAAGAAAAUCACCGGCAGUGGCAAAGAACCACGUUCCUGAGGUGCCAUCUUCAUCAACAGUAAUACAUGGGACCACCUCAGUUAGCCGCCCUUCAUCCAACUACAACAACCGAUCACAACAAAUAAGCGGCCUUCAGAAAGCUGGUUCUAUUAAGGAGUGGAAACCAAAGCCAACACAUUCAAUUAACCAGGUUUCCGGACCAGCUAGCGUAUCCGAGUCUUCCGUCGUUUCAGCUGAAGCUACCAUACAGUUGCCGUCUGUGUCUAAGGUCCUUGAUUCGGAGGAAGCUGCUUCUGAACUGCAGAAGAGGCUUGAGAAUUUACGCGUUCCACCGCGUCAACAUGUCAUUCUUCCAAACCAUAUUUUGGUUCCUGAAUCUGAAAAGAGCAAGUUUAGCUUUGGGAGCUUGGGAAUCAAUUUUGGGGUUACUACAAAUAAUGUUACAAGCCCAGAGAGCGAAAAGAGUUCAACUCUUUCCAAAGUUUCUCAGGCUAUUGAAGAAACUGCAGCGGAGCAGAACUCAAGCAAUCAAAAUGCUUCAGUUCCGCCUGCGGUCGGAGAUUAUUCUGACAACCCACAACCACUCCCGGCUACUACUAUACCUGAAAAUUUGUCAUCAUCCGUGGAGGUGGAUGUCUCAUCCAGUAAUAUUCAAGAAGAUAACGAGUCCAAACAUGUCACAACUAUGCCAUCUGAAGGUAAUGAAUACCCAGUGGUGCAUACUUCUCCGAACUACAAUUUAGGUUUCAUGCCCCCAAUGUUGGAAACACAGUCUGCACAAAUUGAUAAUUCUGAGUCUCAGGCACGCGAUAUUUCUCGGCUUCCAAGCUUUGUUGUUCAUCAACCAUUUGAUCCUAAUUAUUACCCCCAGUAUUACCGCUCUGGUGCUGAUAGUGAUGGCCGUCUUUCUCCUUUACCUUCUGCCGGGGUUACAACCAAGUACAAUGGCGGUGUUCCAGUGCUUCCUACACCAAGUUCUCAGUCUCUUCAAGAGGGAGCUGUCUUGUCCACAGCUGGUCAGACACAACAUGCAACUCAAGCUGCUGGGCUGAUGCAAAACUCAAUAGCUACUCAGCAGCCUCUCCCCGUAUUUCGAGGACCUAGUGGGGUUCAUAUUCCUCAUUACUCUCCUAAUUACAUCCCUUAUGGUCAUUAUAUUUCACCAUUCUAUCUCCAACCUCCCGCAAUCCAUCAAUAUUUGGGUAAUGGUGCAUUUCCUCAACAGCCUCAGGCCAGCACUGUAUAUGCACCUCCUUCUGCUGUGGCUGCAAACGGGAUGAAAUAUCCCCUUCCACAGUACAAACCUGGAACAAAUGCAGCUAACUCGGCUCAUUAUGUAAUGCCGGCUGCCUAUGGUGCAUACGGCUCCUCCCCAUCUGGGGGUUAUAAUCCUAAUUCUGCAGAAACCGCAGGAAAUUCGACCUCUAGCGAGGAUCUUGGUUCAUCACAGUUCAAGGAAAACAAUGUAUACCUCAAUGGACAGCAGAGCGAAGGUUCAGCAAUGUGGGUUGCUGCACCAGGUCGAGACAUUUCCAGUAUGCCCGCCAGUUCAUUCUACAACCUUCCACCUCAGGGUCAGCAUGUGACUUUUGCCCCGACACAGGCUGGCCAUGGAAACUUUGCUGGCGUCUAUCAUCAUCCUGCACAAGCCGGGACAGCCGGAACAGUUCAUCCACUUCUGCAACAAUCACAGACAAUGGCUGGAGCAGUUGAUAUGGUAGGGCCGGGCGGAAAUGUUUAUCAGCAACAACCUCAGCAUGCACAUAUAAAUUGGCCAAGUAACUACUGAAACAGGUGGGUGACUAGAGAUAAACAGGAUAAAUUGAAGUCCUAGUUAGGGCAACAUUUUUGGAAACUCUAAAAAUAAUGCUGGAGUUCCGUGAAGGCGAUUGGCUGCAUGAAGCUGGAAAAUUUGCCAAUAGGAUGAUCUGAUUGCUGGGCAUGUGAAGUUAAAGAUGGAAUACAGGAAAGUGUGGGAGAGGCACUUAUGGAGGGUUUUAUUAUUAUUAUUAAAAUAGUGUAUAAAUGCAGUUAAGCUAUUAUAUACUUAAAACUAUGACAAUAAAGUUUUCUCUAAAAAUGUUGUAACUGUAGCAAGUUUUGUUCAUACACUUGGUGUUAUGAAAUUGCAAUCCAAAAGAAUCAUGGUCUUGGUAAUUAUAGAUGUCUGGUGAGUGUUGUGAUGUUGAAUGCAAUGAAUAUCUAUUAGUAAUGUAUUGUUGGACGGUGUAAAUGGUCUGUAAUAUAUUAUGGAUUAUGGGUGUUUUUUUUGGUAACCA